GCCUGGGUGGCUCAGUUGGUUAAGCUUCUGACUUCGGCUCAGGUAGUGAUCUCACAGUUUGUGAGUUUGAGCCCCACAUCAGGCU
rfam:Felis catus isolate Cinnamon breed Abyssinian chromosome B2, whole genome shotgun sequence.